GGAGGAGCAGGCUGUGCUUUCGUGCAGGCAGCGGGAGCUCGCUCUGACAGCGCUCUCACGCAACAACGGGGUGCUGAAAAAGCAGGCGCUCUGGGUCCGUUGUGGGUGGAUUUGGGGUAGGGAAUGGGGCAAAGAGGGGAUGGGGGUGACAUGGGGAUGGGGGUGACAUGGGGAUGGGGGUGACAUGGGGAUG